rnacentral:lncRNA from 1 species
CGGGGGAACAUAUGAGCAAUCUGGUACUCAAAGGGGGGGUUAAUUUUGGGUUUGUCAUUAUCAAAAAGGGAAAAUUUGCUUUAUGUUAUGUUAUUUCAUGUUUUGAUGAUGACAAACAUUCUCAAGGAACCGGGUACAGACCAGAUGUGAUCAACAUAUAAGGAAUCUGAUUCUCAUUCGGAAUAUUAUUUCUGGGUUGCUCAUCAUAAAAAAGGAGAAGUUGAUAAGUUAUGGUAUUUUGUGUUUUGAUGAUUUGUCAAAUAGUCUCAGGGAACCAGUUAUGGUCAGUUCCUUAGGAAGGAACUUGGUUCUCAAGGAGAAUAUAACUGAUUUGCAUGGGGAACAAUGUGGAGAUCUGGUUCUCAAUGGGAAUAUCAAUUCUAAGUUGGACAUCGUCAAAAGGGAAAAAAUUGAUAAGAUAUGCGUUUUUAUUUUGAUGAUUUGACAAACUUUAUGAGAGAACCAGAUAAGGAACCUGAUACAAUUAGUUCUCUUGCGUUCAGAUUAACUAGUCAGAUGUCUGGUUCAAUUCUCAAUAAAUCAGAUAAAGGAAAAGCAGAGGGAACAGAUAUGGGUCAUUUCUCCUGGUCGUCGUACAGUCAACUUUACAGUUGUAUAAGUUGCUACAUUGUACCGUCUGGCAUGCUGCUGCAUUAUACCG